rnacentral:tRNA from 1 species
GGGGAUUUAGCUCAGUGGUAGAGCACAUGCCUAGCAAGCACAAGGCCCUGGGUUCGGUCCCCAGCUCUG